AGGGUUUGAUCCUGGCUCAGAACGAACGCUGGCGGCGUGGCUAAGACAUGCAAGUCGAACGGACCAGUUAAUUUAUUAGCUGGUCAGUGGCGAAAGGGUGAGUAAUGGAUAGGUAACGUGCCCCGUACUCUGGGAUAGCCAUCCGAAAGGGUGGGUAAUACCGGAUAAUAUCACCGAUCGAUGGGUUGGUGAUCAAAGAUUUAUCGGCGCGGGAGCGGCCUAUCUCCUAUCAGCUAGUUGGUGAGGUAACGGCCCACCAAGGCGAAGACGGGUAGCGGGACUGAGAGGUUGGCCCGCCACAUCGGAACUGAGAUACUGUCCGGACCCCCACGGGGGGCUGCAGUAACGGAUAUUGGGCAAUGGGCGAAAGCCUGACCCAGCGACGCCGCGUGCGGGAGGAAGUCCUUCGGGAUGUAAACCGCUGUCAGGGGGAAGAAAGUCCGUUUCGGCGGAUUGAUCUAACCCAGAGGAAGUCACGGCUAACUCUGUGCCAGCAGCCGCGGUAAGACAGAGGUGGCUAGCGUUGUUCGGUAUCACUGGGCUUAAAGCGUGUGUAGGCGGAAGCGUAAGCAUUUUGUGAAAUCCCCCGGCUUAACCGGGGAAUUGCUUGAUGUACUGCGUUUCUUGAGGCAGGUAGGGGUGCGAGGAACUCUUGGUGGAGCGGUGGAAUGCGUAGAUAUCAAGAGGAACGCCGGUGGUGAAGACGUCGCACUGGGCCUGUCCUGACGCUGAGACACGAAAGCGUGGGGAGCGAACGGGAUUAGAUACCCCGGUAGUCCACGCCGUAAACGAUGUCUACUAGGUUGUGGCGGUUCUGACGCCGGCACAGCCGAAGCUAAAGUGUUAAGUAGACCGCCUGGGGAGUACGGUCGCAAGGCUAAAACUCAAAGGAAUUGACGGGGGCUCACACAAGCGGUGGAGCAUGUGGAUUAAUUCGAAGCAACGCG
rnacentral:rRNA from 1 species